CAGCCGCCACGGUAAUACGAAGGGGGCUAGCGUUGUUCGGAUUUACUGGGCGUAAAGGGCGCGUAGGCGGGCUGAUAAGUCAGGGGUGAAAUCCCAAGGCUCAACCUUGGAACUGCCUUUGAUACUGUUUGUCUUGAGUUCGAGAGAGGUAAGUGGAACUGCGAGUGUAGAGGUGAAAUUCGUAGAUAUUCGCAAGAACACCAGUGGCGAAGGCGGCUUACUGGCUCGAAACUGACGCUGAGGCGCGAAAGCGUGGGGAGCAAACAGGAUUAGAGACCCGUGUAGUCCCUGUCUCUUAUAC
rnacentral:rRNA from 1 species